GCGGCCGUAGUCUAGCCUGGCCUAGGACCCCGGCCUGCCACGCCGGUGACCCGGGUUCGAAUCCCGGCGGCCGCACCA
rnacentral:tRNA from 1 species